AUUGAACGCUGGCGGCAUGCCUUACACAUGCAAGUCGAACGGCAGCGGACCUUCGGGUGCCGGCGAGUGGCGAACGGGUGAGUAAUAUAUCGGAACGUACCUUUCAGUGGGGGAUAACGUAGCGAAAGUUACGCUAAUACCGCAUAUUCUGUGAGCAGGAAAGCAGGGGAUCGCAAGACCUUGCGCUGAUUGGGCGGCCGAUAUCAGAUUAGCUAGUUGGUGAAGUAAAGGCUCACCAAGGCGACGAUCUGUAGCGGGUCUGAGAGGAUGAUCCGCCACACUGGAACUGAGACACGGUCCAGACUCCUACGGGAGGCAGCAGUGGGGAAUUUUGGACAAUGGGCGCAAGCCUGAUCCAGCCAUGCCGCGUGAGUGAAGAAGGCCUC
rnacentral:rRNA from 1 species